AGUGAACGCUGGCGGUAGGCCUAACACAUGCAAGUCGAACGGCAGCACAGUAAGAGCUUGCUCUUACGGGUGGCGAGUGGCGGACGGGUGAGGAAUACAUCGGAAUCUACUUUUUCGUGGGGGAUAACGUAGGGAAACUUACGCUAAUACCGCAUACGACCUACGGGUGAAAGCAGGGGAUCUUCGGACCUUGCGCGAUUGAAUGAGCCGAUGUCGGAGUAGCUAGUUGGCGGGGUAAAGGCCCACCAAGGCGACGAUCCGUAGCUGGUCUGAGAGGAUGAUCAGCCACACGGGAACUGAGACACGGUCCAGACUCCUACGGGAGGCAGCAGUGGGGAAUAUUGGACAAUGGGCGCAAGCGUGAUCCAGCAAUACCGCGUGGGUGAAGAAGGCCUUCGGGUUGUAAAGCCCUGAUGUUGGGAAAGAAAAGCAGCAGGUUAACACCCCGCUGUUCUGACGGUACCCAAAGAAUAAGCACCGGCUAACUCCGUG
rnacentral:rRNA from 1 species